CACCACCAGGAGUGGAGCCUGCGGCUUAAUUUGACUCAACACGGGGAAACUCACCCGGUCCGGACACUGGAAGGAUUGACAGAUUAAAAGCUCUUUCUUGAUUCAGUGGGUGGUGGUGCAUGGCCGUUCUUAGUUGGUGGAGUGAUUUGUCUGGUUAAUUCCGAUAACGAACGAGACUCUAGCCUGCUAACUAGUUCGCCGGCAGCUCUUGUCGCGCGGCGCCGCUUCGGCGGCAAACUUCUUAGAGGGACAGGUGGCGUUUAGCCACACGAAGUAGAGCAAUAACAGGUCUGUGAUGCCCUUAGAUGUCCGGGGCCGCACGCGCGCUACACUGAAAGAAUCAACGUGGAUGCCCACCUGCUCCGAGAGGAGUGGGAAACCCGAUGAAUCUCUUUCGUGAUGGGGAUUGGGGCUUGUAAUUGUUCCCCAUGAACGAGGAAUUCCCAGUAAGCGUCAGUCAUCAGCUGGCGCUGAUUACGUCCCUGCCCUUUGUACACACCGCCCGUCGCUACUACCGAUUGAAUGGUUUAGUGAGACCCUCGGACUGGAGUCCGUCCGCCGCUUUCGGGUGGUGGAUGGGGACGGAAAGACGGUCGAACUUGAUCAUUUAGAGGAAGUAA
rnacentral:rRNA from 1 species